GCCCCCAGCCACAGUGGGAAGGCAGGCUGUGUCCUGGCGCCACGGGAAUGUUCCAGAGUAACUGUCAACUGUAAGUCUGUAGGGCUAUAUACCAGGUGUGGCUUCAUCAUAAGGCCCUACAGGGCGUUUAUGAGACCAGCUGGCUUGAUGUUAGACUAAAGGACCCUAUGCUUCAUCAUCAACACAGGCGAGCGGAAGUUGGUAUUAGGUCUAACGAGCCACCUUGGUUUCCUCCAGAGAUUUUUCCAAGUCCUCUGUGCCGAAAGAAGGCUUCACGAUGGGAACCUGCUUGGUUGUUUCUUUUAUCCAUGUUUUCAGGGACUGAGCGAGGUCGUGGAAAGCACUCAGCUGCUCCUGACAUGAACUGAGAGCUUCUUUUCUGAUGAACAAAAAUGAACCAGAAGUUAAGCUCCAAAGGCCAGCUAUGAACCAGUGGUCGCUAUUCCCGAGUCAGGCUCAACCUGUGUCAGCCAGGACAGCUCUUCCAUUACCAGACUGAAGUUUUCCAAUGUGGCAAAUCAGCUAAGUGACUACGUGCUGAUUCCUUAACCAAAGCUCACAGAGAAAGAGAGGGAACAGUCAAGAAGUUCGUAACUUACUCAUAACGGUACUCUCUAGCGCUACAUAAACUCUAGUGUCUUGGACAGGUAUACGCCACUGACUGAAGAGGACGCAGGUCAUGUCAAAGGAUGUCUUAGCUCAGCACUUUGGAGGGAUGACAGUUCCACCUCUCCAAAGAGAUGUAACCCAGAGACUGGAGUUUUAACAGGUGGCUCACCCAACCCGACCCAUAAGAAGCUCCACCGUGAACCCUACGGGCCUUUCUAUGUGCCAAGCACAGGGCCUGUGGAGACCGUCACACUUGACGUGUGAAUGGGCUCUUUGCAUACGUGAGGUGGGAUGCAGGAGAUAAGGAUGUGUUUCGGCUGUACGAACUACCGAUGACUACAUGGUGCUGAUGUUUCAAUAGUCCACUUAUUACCUGAAUUUAAAAUUGGAAGAGAUAGCCUAGAUUGUGUAAGACAGCCAAGAGCAUGUCUUCUGUGACCAGUUCAGAAAGAGAACUCAGAAGUUUUGGGUAGAGAAUUCUACAGAAAUAAAACUAGGCGAGAGGGAGAUGCUUCACGGAGAAACAAGUAUGGACCAGUUAGAAUGAUGGUUGGGAGUUAGGACUGUAGAUAAAAGACGUGUGAGCCUGUCUCAGCCGGUCCACGUGCUUGGCACUGUCACUCCUGAGGGAUACGCACCUGCAUAUGCUGAGACAGCUCUGGCACGUCCUUUCCCGGCAUGUCCACCUCAGUGAGCGCCUGGCUCUGUGUCUCGAGGAAUGUCUGGAGCUUGUCUGAGAGCUUCUCAAACUCCUCUACUUUGGACUUCAGCUCCACCAUCUUGGCGAGCUUUUCCUUGUGUUUCUGACUCGCUUCGGAAAAGCGAGCAGACAGGUCCUUCAUUUUUGCCUGCAGCGAGGAGGCAGUGGAUGGGUCUGUUGUCUCUAUAAAUGUCUUCACCUUUUCGUUCAUGGCGUUUAUGCUGCUCUGACGACCCGUAAUAUCCUGAUCCAGCAUCUGAAAUACAGGAAUUGUUGUACGUGUUUUCUGACAACGUCUACAGAUAAAGCCACAGAGUUUUGAAAAAGAUUUUUCACAGCAGCGUAAGCUUGGACAACCUGUGACUAGAACGGUUAGCAGUUGGAAAUGAGUGGCGUGUUUGAGUUUUCUCUUGAGGAAGCCAAUUCCAACGCUCCUCAGGGGAGUGUGGAGAACAGCUGGUUGGCUGCUUGAGAGAGGCGGGGGCUUGCUGCUACCGGGCAACCCCUUGGGAUCUAAGGCAGCCUGGGGAUUAGCCAUGUUCUUAAUUUUUUUUAAAUACCUACCUGGCAACAGCAAGAUUGAUCUGACGAACCCUUGAGCAGCUGGCCAAAGUCACGGUAAACAAGAUUAGAUACAAUGUACGGUUAAACCCUCCUUAAUGAAUAAUGACGAGUCUAUUAAUCCCU